CUGGGGCGUGGGAAACGUGGUGUGGCAGGAAGACACACGCUGCAGAGAUCGGAUGGCUACUGGCUUGGGGAAGAGACAGUUAAAGCUUCCCGUGCCGGCGAGUUAUAUCACACAGCGCCGGUGCCAGGUCAGCAGUCUGCACAGAGCUCAGCCGAGGCUGGUCGUGCCAGGCGGUGCCAAACGUCUCUGGCAGCCCCGUAGAGGAUCCCCCAACCCAGAUUCCACUCUGCAGCUGGGCGAAGCUUUGACGAGUGUCUUGUGAGAGGGAACUAUAAGCUGAGCUGGUGCCUCCCAGACGAGCCCCAUCGGAAGCACAGAACUCCCGGCUGCUGGGAGCCUGCAGACGCCAUGACAAAGGGAGCCCUGCCCAGUGUGGUAGAUGCCGAUCCUGAGAACUCUGGAUGCACAGUCACACAUGUGGUUUCAGUGCUUGGCUGACUUCGUCAGAAAUGAAGACGCAUCAGCAGCCAGGAAAAGGAACAAGGGGUCGGCAUGCACAGGGCUGGCACAGGACUGCAGCUGCCAGGGCUGCUUCUCCAGUUUGUAUCUCCUGGGGCUGGGGAGUCAUCAAGGCAGCCACAGAUGAGCCCCGAUAACUUGCACCAAUAACGCCAGGUACUGGAAAGGCCGUAUCUCGUUGCGAGGGAAGUAUGUUGACAAGGAUCCCACACUGUGUCCACCUGGGAUGCAGUUUAAAUCUAAUGAGUAGGUGGGAUUAGCGCUGAAUGCUGGCAGCUGUGAGCCUGGUUCACAAGUUUCUGGGGCUGAAGAGAGAGAACCCAGACACUGAAUCCCUGGCCAAAGGCGAUGCAACACACUCCUGAAAGAUCGGCUCUGCCAGACAGGAGCCCAGCACACCAGCUGCAAAAUGCACGGGGAAUGAGGCUGUUGAAAAUGUGGAAAGACACUUUAACAAAGGAAGGGAAGUCAUUGCAAAGCACAGAGUUUGCUUCAACAACAUGAGAGAGGCUUUGCAGAAAACACCGAACCCCUAAAACUGCAAUUAUUGAAAUCAAGAUAAUUCUAAUGAAACAAACAGUAAAUGGGACCCUGUGGAAAGACUUGGUGUAGGAGAGGUAGAUUUGAAUGACUCAUUCCACAAGGAGCAAAGGAGAUGCAACCUCCUAGGUUACUUGUUACAGGUAAUGGACCUCUCAAGAGAAUUGAAUGAAGAGGAUAGAAAAAAGGGAGGACAGGCCCUACCUAAAGAAAUAAUGAAUGAAAGGAUUUUUUUCACAAGUUAUAAAGGACUAAAUCUUAGUGAACCUUAAGAAAAAAUAAAUGGGCCGGCGCCGCAGCUCAAUAGGCUAAUCCUCCGCCUUGCGGCGCCAGCACACCAGGUUCUAGUCCCGGUCAGGGCGCCAGAUUCUGUCCUGGUUGCCCCUCUUCCAGGCCAGCUCUCUGCUGUGGCCAGGGAGUGCAGUGGAGGAUGGCCCAAGUGCUUGGGCCCUGCACCCCAUGGGAGACCAGGAGAAGCACCUGGCUCCUGCCAUCAGAUCAGUGUGGUGCGCCAGCCGCAGCGCACCAGCCGCGGCGGCCAUUGGAGGGUGAACCAACGGCAAAGGAAGACCUUUCUCUCUGUCUUUCUCUCUCACUGUCCACUCUGCCUGUCAAAAAAAAAAAAAAGAAAGAAAGAAAAAAUAAAUGCGUCCUAAAACUUUAACCAUGGAAUUGUAUGCACCCAAAGACAAAGACAAAAAAAAAGCAGAGAGAAAAGGCAGAUUGCCUGCAAGACGGACAACUAGCUGGCUAGGAUCCUUCUCAGCAGUGGUCAGGGAGGCCGAGGUGUGGUCACUUGAGUUAAGUCCAUCCCAAGGGACCUCCUACAUGGUGACACCACCGGUCUCCAAAGGCUUGCAGAAUGCAAAGGUGGGUCGAUUGUAACCGACCCUCCUCCACCAGCCUUUCUACUCUGAAUCAGACGCCCUUUGCUACCACAAGCCAGAAGCAGGAGUCUGACUUCUGUGUCUCCCACGCAGUGCCCAGAGUGGGCGUCCCUGUCUUCACAGCAUGCAUGCAGCAGGUGCUCACUGACGCAGGUGGCCAUCCUGCAGUGCCUGUGAGUAAAGACCGCUUGGAACCCAAUGGCUCCGUGGCUUUUCUCUAGCCCUGUCCUGGAGCGGAAGCAAAGGCACCUUUCAAGGACAAAGAUGAUCUACUCGGGCCCGGCGGAAUCUCUGCAUAAAGACAAGUAGAAAAUAGUAGGAAUCAUAAGAACCUCACAAAGACAGUGACCUGAUGGAUUUGCAGUUCGUCCUGAAAUCCCAUCGUGUGUAGCCUGGAACAUCAAGGCUGAGCCGUGAGGCCCAGGGAGAAGCUGUGGCUGAGAGAAGCUGCACCUACUCAAGACCACUCGGUGUGCAGAGAGCUGGGAGGACCUGGCAUCUCCCAGCUCCCCCACGAUGCUCUGCCCCUCCCCCACAGCUGCCCUGGGACUCACGUUGCAGAACUGUAGACUGAACACAGAGAACUACAUAAGAUGAAGAAACAGACAAACCGCAGGAGGGAGGCUGUGGGGCGGGGAGCAGGCAAAGCGAGGACGAAGAAGAAAGAGAACAGCGCAUCUCGGGUCGGGGCGGCCCCUCCCCCGGCCAGAGGCGCUCGCACCGCGGGUCCUGCGGCUCCCGGAGACGCGGUGAGGACGGGAAGUGGAAGACAAAGCCGAGCGCAGGAGGGGGCGCGGCCGCUGCAAGUGCCGACUUAUUUCUCUGAACACAGUAGCCCAGAUCUGUGCGAUUUAUACAAAGCCCGGAGCUCGCCCCCCGAGCGCGCCGCAGGCUCCUCUGGCCGGCAACCCUGGAACACACCCGCGAAGCCAAGGGCCAAGGACAAAGACGCCGCCCCAUGUCGCCUUGGGAUCUGGACCUGCCAAUUCCCGGACUGCGGAGUCCUGACCCCCGCAUCGCCCCCCAGAGGAGGAAGCACCACGUGGGGUUUCUCUGCUGGAUGCACAGACCCUGGACAGGGACCUCGCAUCUCAUUAGAGAUUACAAUAACCGGCAUGAGAACAUAAGAGAAGGUGGCUAGGCAUUCCUCCUAGCUUUGAGAGGAGUCUGGAAUAUGUAAAAUAAACCAAUACUACUUAAUAUUUGCACAUAUAUUUGUUUAUCUCCAUGCAUUUCUGCAGAAGCAAUUAGAUAGCCCCCCCUGGCCUUUGUCACCAUGAACAGCUUGGACACUGAUGUGUUUUCAGUGCCACUGAGAGGGGCCAGAUACAAAAAGCCAGAAUCCUAGCAUUUUUCCUGAUGAAAAUUUUGCCAUUUUCCUCUCUCCUUUCUAAAUAAAAAUUGUUGAAAUAACUGCAUACCAAGCAGGCUUGUUUGUAAUGGGGUUGUUAUUUUAAAAUGCAACCUUGGAGGGAGUAAGACACACACUCACAUCUUGAGAGAUUUAAUGAUAUUUUGAUUCAUGUUACAAAUAUGAUUGAAAAAGAAAGAGGACAUAGCCAGGAAAAAAUGAAAAAAAAAAUGGAAUCAUCCCUAGUCAGCUAAAUAAGACUUCCUUCUCGAGUAUCCUCUUUUUUAAAAAAAAAAAAAUCUUCUAUUUGAAUGUAAUUCUAAUUUACAGAACGUUGCAAAAAGGUAGAAAGAUCUCAGAUAAUGUACCCGGAUCCCCAACUGUGUACACUUCGCUCAUCUACUUUCUCCUUUGCAGGGUGUGUGUGUGUGCCUAUGCCUUAUUUUUUUUUUCUUGAGACAUUUGGUAAUAUACUGGAGACAGAAAGCCCCUCUACCUCCAAAUAAAUAAAGUCCAGGGUCCUUUUCCUAAGACCAAGAUGCCCGAUGCAGGGACUGGACAACUCCCCCAGUCAGGAAAUUUAACCCCAGUGGAAAACUUAUCUAAUCCGCCAUCUCCUGACAGUGUCCUUCGCUGCAAUGAGUUCCCAGUCUUGCAGGAAUUUCAGGGUCACACACUGCUGUGGUUGACCAGAGGUGGUUUCUAGGACUUCACCAAGACAGAGGUGGGAGUGCAAGGCAGGAUAAUGCCACCCACUACCCAUCGUUGGCUUGGAGAGAGGCACCCAUGAGGAGUCACAGCACAGGUUCUGGGGGGCCCAGCCGUGCAUGAGAGAAACUUGCCCUCCCCUAAGAACAGAAGCCGUGUUAUUUUCACACAUCACCUAAAGCUCAUUGAAAAUAAAUAUUUUGUAUAAAAAAUAAAUAAAUUUGUUAUGAGCGGUGACAAACGCCAGUCACUAUGAAAUAUUUGUGGGACUCAGUGUGUGAUUCCAAAGGUCCUUAAGCCGGGGCAUCUGUGAGUGUUAGGGAUGCUUGCCUCACAGCUGGAGGGGCUGAGAGGAGGAGAGACUGAGAGACAGGAAGAACAAGGGAGCUGGGAGAGGAUGAAACACUCAGCUCAAGAUGCAGAGAAAGAAAAUGGGUGGAGAACAAACCGGAAGCAUCCAUUAUAGAAGUGAAAUGUUUGUAUCCUUCCCAUGAUUGUGGAAAAAAAUUUGUGAACAGGAAUCCUGCUGCAGCAGUAUUUCCUGGGCCUGCAGCCACGAGGGCGUGUUUGGGCUCCUGGAAGAGGCAGCAGGGAGGGGUUCCCUCUGCAGGUGAGCCUGACUUAGGGCUUGAAGGUCUAGUCUCCUUCUACACAAACAGUGCCGAUUCCCAGACCAUCACAGAUGGUCAUGCAAUGUCAGAAGUUACUCCCCCCUGAGUUUUCUGCCCAUGCAGGAGAGGGGCACUUAGCAUUUCCGGGACACCAGGACAAGCUUCCCCCGCUGUGUUGGCCGCAGCUGCCAGCCCCCAGCUCUUCUCUGCACCUGGGUGUCUCUGUUAGCCCGCACGGUUUUCUAUGCAGUGGAAGCCAACAUCAUUUUUCUCACAGACGCUAUUCAACCACAAGCCAGUUUUCAAUUCAUUUUUCAUUAAGGUGAAAGUGGAAUUUUCUUUUACUUUAAAGGAACUUUGACUUCCUUUGAAGUGUAUUUUGCAUUACUGUUUCAAAGCCCAGAGCUGAAUCCAGGCCCCAGGCACCCGGGGAGGGGGGGUGGAGGAGGUUUUGGUUCAGGUGUCCCUCCCAGAAAGGAAGUCCCUGGGGACCCACGAGGACAGAUUCCCAACUGUGUAUGAGCAGCUGCUGAGUAGGCAAGGGCCUGUGUGGACUCCGUAGCCGGCUGUCCUUACAUGGGCUACCGACCUCUGACUUGGCUGCAGAUGAAGUGGUUGGGACUAGGAAACUGCCAUUUAGUUUACUCCAGCAGUAACA